rnacentral:lncRNA from 1 species
UAAGUAGAACAAUCAACUUCAACCAAUAAUAAAUACCAAAAAAUUUACAAAAAGUCUAUUAAAAGAAUGCAGGAGCACAGAAUACCUGAGGAACCUACUAAGACUAGGGAGGCAUAAACAUGGUAUAUGGCUAUUGAGUCAGAUAUGAUGUGAGAGGAUUAAUGUAUCUGAGAGCUUUGUGAUUGAGAAUUGUCAAAAGCCAUAGUAUUAGUUUCUUUUUCUGCAUCAGUUAGCACCAAAACUGCAUCAAUAAAAGGAAUAUUUUGCAUGAUAGCUAAAUUGUGACAUCCCAAGUGCCAAUUAAGACAAAUGAGUAUCAGGUACAGAUUCAGAAUAACGAGUGCAUAAUAAUAUUUAUGCAGUAAAGUUAAACCUUAACAAAUCCUUACAAAUAUAUA